GACGAACCGUGCGAACGUUAUUCGGAAUCACUGGGCUUAAAGCGCGUGUAGGCGGGCCGCCGCGUCGGCUGCUGAAAUCCCCCGGCUCAACCGGGGAACGGGCACCGAUACGGGCGGCCUGGAGGGGGGUAGGGGGGCCUGGAACUUCCGGUGGAGCGGUGAAAUGCGUUGAGAUCGGAAGGAACGCCCGUGGCGAAAGCGAGGUCCUGGACGUUUUCUGACGCUGAGACGCGAAAGCCAGGGGAGCGAACGGG
rnacentral:rRNA from 1 species